UACGUAGGGUGCGAGCGUUAGUCGGAAUUACUGGGCGUAAAGCGUGCGCAGGCGGCUUUGCAAGACAGAUGUGAAAUCCCCGGGCUCAACCUGGGAACUGCAUUUGUGACUGCAAGGCUAGAGUACGGCAGAGGGGGAUGGAAUUCCGCGUGUAGCAGUGAAAUGCGUAGAUAUGCGGAGGAACACCAACGGCGAAGGCAAUCCCCUGGGCCUGUACUGACGCUCAUGCACGAAAGCGUGGGGAGCAAACAGG
rnacentral:rRNA from 1 species